GACGAACGCUGGCGGCGUGCCUAAUACAUGCAAGUUGAGCGCUGAAGGUUGGUACUUGUACCAACUGGAUGAGCAGCGAACGGGUGAGUAACGCGUGGGGAAUCUGCCUUUGAGCGGGGGACAACAUUUGGAAACGAAUGCUAAUACCGCAUAAAAACUUUAAACACAAGUUUUAAGUUUGAAAGAUGCAAUUGCAUCACUCAAAGAUGAUCCCGCGUUGUAUUAGCUAGUUGGUGAGGUAAAGGCUCACCAAGGCGAUGAUACAUAGCCGACCUGAGAGGGUGAUCGGCCACAUUGGGACUGAGACACGGCCCAAACUCCUACGGGAGGCAGCAGGAGGGAAACUUCGGCAAUGGGCGGAAGUCUGACCGAGCAACGCCGCGGGAGGGAAGAAGGGUGUCGGAUCGGAAAACUCUGUUGGUAGAGAAGAAAGUUGGUGAGAGUGGAAAGCUCAUCAAGUGACGGUAACUACCCAGAAAGGGACGGCUAACUACGUG
rnacentral:rRNA from 1 species